UCCUGUUCCUAAGUACUAGUGCCGCAGGAGUGAUUAGACGUGGGCAAGACAUUACCAUAUCUCCUGCUGCUCAAGUGCUUAUCAACAGGU
rfam:Camponotus floridanus CamFlo_1.0_2.contig3445, whole genome shotgun sequence.